rnacentral:rRNA from 1 species
UAGGGAAUUUUGCGCAAUGGGGGAAACCCUGACGCAGCAACACCGCGUGAAUGUUAAGCCCUUCGGGGUGUAAAGUUCUGUCAGUAGGGACGAAAUUUGACUGUACCUACAAAGGAAGCACCGGCUAACUCCGUGCCAGCAGCCGCGGUAAUACGGGGGGUGCAAGCGUUGUCCGGAAUCAUUGGGCGUGAAGCGUUCGUAGGCGGUAUAUCAAGUCUGGUGUUAAAGCCCGGGGCUCAACUCCGGCUCGGCACUGGAUACUGGUAAACUAGAAUGCGGUAGAGGUAAGGGGAAUUCCUGGUGUAGCGGUGAAAUGCGUAGAUAUCAGGAAGAACUCCAAUUGCGAAGGCAGCUCACUAGACUGCAACUGACACUGAGGCUCGAAAGUGUGGGUAUCAAACA